rnacentral:rRNA from 1 species
GAUGAACGCUGGCGGCGUGCUUAACACAUGCAAGUCGAACGGGGAACAUUUUAAAGAAGCUUCGGCAGAUUUAGUUUGUUCCUAGUGGCGGACGGGUGAGUAACGCGUGGGUAACCUGCCUCACACUGGGGGAUAACAGUCAGAAAUGACUGCUAAUACCGCAUAAGCGCACAGAGCCGCAUGGCUCAGUGUGAAAAACUCCGGUGGUGUGAGAUGGACCCGCGUUGGAUUAGCCAGUUGGCAGGGUAACGGCCUACCAAAGCAACGAUCCAUAGCCGGCCUGAGAGGGUGGACGGCCACAUUGGGACUGAGACACGGCCCAGACUCCUACGGGAGGCAGCAGUGGGGAAUAUUGCACAAUGGGGGAAACCCUGAUGCAGCGACGCCGCGUGAAGGAAGAAGUAUCUCGGUAUGUAAACUUCUAUCAGCAGGGAAGAAAAUGACGGUACCKACWA